rnacentral:lncRNA from 1 species
UUGUGAGCAUUUUAAUAUCAUUAAUUUUUAUGAAAGUGAAGUGUAUUUUAAUUAAUGUUGCAUCUGUUAUUGACAUUGUUAGACAUAAAAUUACCUUUUAUUUUCCUUAUAACUACUCUUGCAUUGUUAAUGUGAAAACAGUCACUGAGGCAGCUGUGAUUCCAUUGUUUUGGCUUGUUGGACUGAGAAUGUGUGUUGUUGUGUAAUACAAUACUUGUUAACCGUCUUAGUUAUCAUUCAAUAGUCAAGAUAUUAGUAACACGAGUAUAAUGGUUCUUUGUACAUUUUUCAGACAAAUUAUAACUUAUUUGAUUGAUCAUUUAUAACUCAAAUGGGUUUGGAUUCUUUUUACCUAAUUUUUAUGUAAAUACUUUAGUGUUUGUGCAUAAUUCAUUUUUAUUUAACACAAUCAAACAAUGCAUGCUUAACAUUGUUAAUAUGAAAGUUAAUACUAUUUGUUUAUAAUACCAAAGAAUCAUAGAAGAAUUAGUCACAUUGUCUUUGACUAAUUCUAAAGUGUAAGGGUUGUGGGGUUUACUAUUAUAAAGAGAGCUUAGUAACAAUUAAACGACAAGGGAAUAGUGAGCUCCAUCUCAAUCGUUAUUGACAAAAAUGGUGUCCAAAUAUUAAAUUUCAAUAAGAACUUUAAGCAUAUUCAAUAACAUUUACAUAUGAGAUUAUUGUGUGUAAUUUUGUUUGUAUACUCUAAGUUGUUGGUGAUUGUGGGCAUUUUUAUAUCAUUAAUUUUUAUGAAAGUGAAGUGUAUUUUAAUUAAUGUUGCAUCUGUUAUUGACAUUGUUAGACAUAAAAUUACCUUUUAUUUUCCUUAUAACUACUCUUGCAUUGUUAAUGUGAAAACAGUCGCUGAGGCAGCUGUGAUUCCAUUGUUUUGGCUUGUUGGACUGAGAAUGUGUGUUGUUGCGUAAUACAAUACUUGUUAACCGUCUUAGUUAGUUCACUCAAUAGUCAAGAUAUUAGUAACAUGAGUAUAAUGGUUCUUUGUACAUUUUUCAGA